GCCGAGCCGAGCCGGGCCAUGAGAACCAGGAACAGCAGGACUGAGACACAGUGAGACAUGGUCAGAUCCUCCUCCACUCCUCACCAUCAUGAUCAUGGUGCUGGCGCUUCGAGGUGACCUCCUCUCACCCCGCCUGUCUUCAUAACCCACAGUUGCUCAUUAACUAGGCCACGUCCAACACAUGCGGUUGGUUGAUCUCGCCACUGGCAGCGAACCACUGGUCGACGCUGAUGGCGGCCGCCGCCCCCGCUCUGCUCUGCACCAUCGUCAUCUUCAUGGACCGCAGAUCACCACCGUCACCUUCAACCGGAAGGAGACCGCGCUGAAGGUCAGGAUGUCCCCAUCGGUACUUUGUCUCGGAGGGGGCGGCUCGGUGACUCGGCUGUGGCUACCACCUGGUGGUGGUGGUGGUGUUUGUGGGCGUCUGCCCCGUCAUGGUUCGUGGCGUCCACCAUGCUGUCCAUCUCCCACGUCAACAGCCUGAAGCUGGAGUCGGGGGCAGCCCAGGUUCCUGGGCAUCAUCGAGCCGAGGGUCACCUGCUUCAUGAUAUUCGUCCUCAUGUGCUGCUCCAUCUUCAUGAUCUACGCCCCCAAGGUGGCCAGGGUCACGCUGGUUAGUCUGUGACAUCAGAGCCCAGACUGGAUGAGGUCACACGCUGACAUGUGUGUGUGUGUUUGUGUUUGAGCAGUGUGCCAACACAUCAGAUGUCAACAUCUCUGAUGAAAUGCCAAAAGCGGCAUCCAGAAAUCAGUUUCCAACUGUAUCAGCAGAUUUAAAAACUAAAUUGGAUUUAAUUGAAUUAAAUCAUAAUAUCUUAAAUCAUAGCAUAUUUAAAUAUGUUAUAUUUAGUAAUUACAUUACAUUAAUUGAUUAAAUGAAAUCAUGUAUUAUAAUAAAUGUUGACGUAUAAAUGUUUACAAAUCUACAAACAGGAAAUAAGAUGCCAAGCAGAAUUCACAAAUAAAGUGUCUUUAUUUACAUUGUCAGCCUUUAUUAGUGUGGUCAGUUGUCAU